GGAAUAUAGCUCAGUUGGUAGUGUGCUUGCCUCACAUGCACAAAUUCUGGGUUCAAUCCCCAGCACCA
rnacentral:tRNA from 1 species